UGAUGAUGUUUUCCUAAUGUCUUAGUUUACCAUUGGUUCUUGGGUCUGCCAUUUGAUACUGCUAUCAGAUGUGAAAAGGCACAGACCUGACUAUAGAAAGCCUGAAUUCUCCAACCAGGGGAAAACACUUCCUAGAACUGCAUGUAUGUGUCUGUCUAAGGAUGAAGUUCAGAUUCCUCAUAGAAGAAACAGGUAUGAUAAUACUACCUGCGUGGUAGCAUUAUGCUGAAGAUAAGUGAGUUAAUACAAACAGAGUGCUGAGAGCAGUGCCUGGCACAGAGCGGUUCUCAACAGGUAUUAGCUCCUGUUAUUAUUAACUAUUAUCAAUAAUUGGCAUGUGGCAUGGAAAUGGGAAGGAGGGAUGAUAAAAAGGAGAAGAUAUACUGGAAAGACAAAAACGGUAGCUCUUCACAGCUCAUUGGAAGGCUUUUGGUCUAAAACUUUCAUAAGUCAU